rnacentral:rRNA from 1 species
UACGUGGGGGGCAAGCGUUGUCCGGAAUUAUUGGGCGUAAAGAGUGUGUAGGCGGCUUGGUAAGUCUGCUCUGAAAGCCAGGGGCUCAACCCCUGGAGGCGGGUGGAUACUGUCAAGCUUGAGUCCGGAAGAGGCGAGUGGAAUUCCCGGUGUAGCGGUGAAAUGCGCAGAUAUCGGGAGGAACACCAAUGGCGAAGGCAGCUCGCUGGGACGUGACUGACGCUGAGACACGAAAGCGUGGGGAGCAAACAGG